GUGGGGAAUCUUGCGCAAUGGGCGAAAGCCUGACGCAGCCAUGCCGCGUGAAUGAUGAAGGUCUUAGGAUUGUAAAAUUCUUUCACCGGGGACGAUAAUGACGGUACCCGGAGAAGAAGCCCCGGCUAACUUCGUGCCAGCAGCCGCGGUAAUACGAAGGGGGCUAGCGUUGCUCGGAAUUACUGGGCGUAAAGGGCGCGUAGGCGGACAGUUUAGUCAGAGGUGAAAGCCCAGGGCUCAACCUUGGAAUUGCCUUUGAUACUGGCUGUCUUGAGUACGGGAGAGGUGAGUGGAACUGCGAGUGUAGAGGUGAAAUUCGUAGAUAUUCGGAAGAACACCAGUGGCGAAGGCGACUCACUGGCCCGUUACUGACGCUGAGGCGCGAAAGCGUGGGGAGCAAACAGGAUUAGAUACCCGGGUAGUCC
rnacentral:rRNA from 1 species